UGUGGUUACAAUAGCAGAGAGGAUACACCUGUUCCCAUUCCGAACACAGAAGUUAAGCUCUCUAGCGCUGAUGGUACUUGGUGGGAAACUGCC
rnacentral:rRNA from 5 species